GACGAGCCUCACAAACGUUAUUCGGAAUCACUGGGCUUAAAGGGUGCGUAGGCGGUGUGGAAAGUCGGAUGUGAAAUACCUCAGCUUAACUGAGGAACUGCACUCGAUACUUCCAUGCUAGAGUAAGACAGAGGUGAGUGGAACUGAGGGUGGAGCGGUGAAAUGCGUUGAUAUCCUCAGGAACACCGGUGGCGAAGGCGACUCACUGGGUCUUUACUGACGCUGAUGCACGAAAGCUAGGGUAGCAAACGGG
rnacentral:rRNA from 1 species